AUGCCUCUGACGUUUGAGCUUUGUCCCGGACGGAUGGUCGGAGGGAGCCAUCCCUGCUUCAUCAUAGCUGAGAUUGGACAGAACCAUCAAGGGGACAUAAUGUUGCCAAGCAAAUGAUCAAGAUGGCAAAGGACUGUGGUGCAGAUUGUGCCAAAUUCCAAAAGAGCAACUUGUCGUGCAGAUUUAACAAGCAAGCCUUGGAGCGCCCUUACAAUUCCAAAAACUCCUGGGGGGAAACCUACAGCGAUCACAAGCGUCACCUUGAGUUCAGUCAUGAGCAGUACAGGGAGCUGCAGAAGUAUGCCACAGAGCUGAGCAUCUUCUUCACAGCUUCUGGGAUGGAUGAGAUGGCAGUGAGGUUUCUGGAUGAAAUCAAUGUGCCUUUCUUCAAAGUGGCUUCUGCAGACACCAACAACUUUCCUUAUCUGGAGGAAACAGCUAAGAAAGGUCGUCCCAUGGUGGUGUCCAGUGGGAUGCAAUCUAUGGAAACAAUGCUUCAAGUCUACAAGAUAAUUAAGAAGCAGAAUGAAAACUUUGUCAUCCUUCAGUGCACCAGCACCUACCCUCUGGAUCCUGCUGAUGUCCACCUCAGAGUGAUCCCGGAAUACCAAAAGGAAUUUCCAGAUAUUCCCAUUGGAUAUUCCGGCCACGAGUCUGGAAUUGCUAUAUCGGUGGCAGCUGUGGCUCUAGGGGCAAAGGUCAUUGAGCGCCACAUAACUUUGGACAAAACAUGGAAAGGAAGUGACCACGCAGCCUCACUGGAGCCUUCUGAACUGGCUGAACUUGUUCGCUCCAUUCGAUUGGUGGAAACAGCAAUGGGAAGCAACAUCAAGAAGAUGCUCCCCUCUGAGGAAUCAUGCCACUCCAAGCUGGGCAAGUCUGUAGUGGCCAAGGUAAAGCUUACCAAAGGGACGGUCCUGACUCUGGACAUGCUGAGGGUGAAGGUGGCUGAGCCCAUGGGCAUCAAAGCUGAGGACAUCUUCCAGCUGGUUGGAAAGACCAUGAAAAAGGACGUGGAGGAGGAUGAGAGCAUCAGGCCUGAUGUGGUGGACAAGUGAAGUAUGGCAACAAAUGAUGAAGAACAGAAGAUACUGGACAUGGUGCUAAUUGUUAAAGGUUACUUAGUUUAGAAUAUAGUCCAAGGUCAAAAUGAGACAUGAAGGUAAUUUUACACUGUGGAGAAACUCUAAACUUAUGAGUCAUGAACAAAAUGACUGUUAUAUUUAGUUGUUGUGAAGAGAACAUUGGUAAAUUUGAUGGUAAUAAUCUUUUGAAGCUGUGUUUCUGUGGAAAAAGUCUUCUAAACAGUAAAAAUUGUAUUGGCUAAAGCCACAAUAAAAGGUUUGCAAUCAGAAA